rnacentral:rRNA from 1 species
CUUUGAUUCUGGCUCAGGAUGAACGCUAGCUACAGGCUUAACACAUGCAAGUCGAGGGGAAACGAUAGAGAAAGCUUGCUUUUUCUAGGCGUCGACCGGCGCACGGGUGAGUAACGCGUAUCCAACCUGCCCAUCACUUGGGGAUAACCUUGCGAAAGUAAGACUAAUACCCAAUGAUAUCUCUAGAAGACAUCUGAAGGAGAUUAAGGAUUUAUCGGUGAUGGAUGGGGAUGCGUCUGAUUAGCUUGUUGGCGGGGUAACGGCCCACCAAGGCGACGAUCAGUAGGGGUUCUGAGAGGAAGGUCCCCCACAUUGGAACUGAGACACGGUCCAAACUCCUACGGGAGGCAGCAGUGAGGAAUAUUGGUCAAUGGGCGAGAGCCUGAACCAGCCAAGUAGCGUGCAGGAUGACGGCCCUAUGGGUUGUAAACUGCUUUUAUAAGGGAAUA